GGGCCUGUAGCUCAGCCAGGUGGAGCAACCGGCUUUUAACCGGUUAGUCGCGGGUUCGAACCCCGUCAGGCCCG
rnacentral:tRNA from 2 species